ACGCUGGCGGCAGGCCUAACACAUGCAAGUCGAGCGGCAGCGGAAAGUAGCUUGCUACUUUGCCGGCGAGCGGCGGACGGGUGAGUAAUGUCUGGGAAACUGCCUGAUGGAGGGGGAUAACUACUGGAAACGGUAGCUAAUACCGCAUGACGUCGCAAGACCAAAGUGGGGGACCUUCGGGCCUCACGCCAUCGGAUGUGCCCAGAUGGGAUUAGCUAGUAGGUGGGGUAAUGGCUCACCUAGGCGACGAUCCCUAGCUGGUCUGAGAGGAUGACCAGCCACACUGGAACUGAGACACGGUCCAGACUCCUACGGGAGGCAGCAGUGGGGAAUAUUGCACAAUGGGCGCAAGCCUGAUGCAGCCAUGCCGCGUGUGUGAAGAAGGCCUUAGGGUUGUAAAGCACUUUCAGCGAGGAGGAAGGCGUUGUGGUUAAUAGCUGCAACGAUUGACGUUACUCGCAGAAGAAGCACCGGCUAACUCCGUGCCAGCAGCCGCGGUAAUACGGAGGGUGCAAGCGUUAAUCGGAAUUACUGGGCGUAAAGCGCACGCAGGCGGUUUGUUAAGUCAGAUGUGAAAUCCCCGAGCUUAACUUGGGAACGGCAUUUGAAACUGCCAAGCUAGAGUCUUGUAGAGGGGGGUAGAAUUCCAGGUGUAGCGGUGAAAUGCGUAGAGAUCUGGAGGAAUACCGGUGGCGAAGGCGGCCCCCUGGACAAAGACUGACGCUCAGGUGCGAAAGCGUGGGGAGCAAAC
rnacentral:rRNA from 1 species